ensembl:lncRNA novel transcript
UGGUGAUUGUGGUGGUGGAGCUAAUGACAUGUGUGCAGAAACUCUUCUGAAUGGGACUUCCCUGAUCCUGUUUUUACCUGAUCUUCAUGCUCAAUAGAAAAAGCCUCAGCUUUGGAAUCAGCUUCCCAGUGAACACCGAGAGUUGAGUUUAGCAACUGUUUGGACUGGCCAUGUAACAGGGCCGUCCAGGUAGCAUGGCAUGGUACUGGAACACUAUGUCUUCUCUCUGACCUCUCGGAAUAUCUCUGUGAUUCAAUGUGUUGGCCCAUUGGAGGCCCUGGCAGAUUUACGAUGUCAUGUAGACUCAGCCUCUUCUCUUCGUAACAUCCUGCUCAAACCUCCUAUCUUUAGGUCCUCCCUUCUCUUAUGGCACAUGUCACUGUAUUCAUAUUUGCAGAACAUGAACUAGAUGCCAGACACACUAUGACUGGUUAAAACCUGGAGGUUUGAGAAACCCCUGAUCUUCUCCAUACUCUUCACAAGGGCAAUGGCUGGCCAAGAUUACAAAUUAGUGACUGUUGAGGCUGGAAUCUGUACCGAGGUCAUGGGAACCCCCUGCACUGCCCCUUCUAAUCACCCUCCUGCUUGGACCCUGGGAGUAUGACAAAGAGUCAGAUAAGACAACUGAGGCUGAAGAUCACACAACCAGUAAAUGGAACAGCCAGAAAUCAAAUGUUAUAUAUUGGCCCUGAAGUGGGGAUAAAGCAGCUAAAAGAAAGUGUACUUUACAUUAAAUUUUAAGGUAUCCAAAAGCAAAUCAAUAAGCCAUACUCUAGUUACAUUAAGAUAUUUUCACAAGUGCUAGGUUAAGUAAUAUAAAAUUACCAUUUUUGUAGGUCAAAAGUAAUGGAAUAUCAUGCUUGUAUAUGGUUUGAUCUAAUAUAUAUCAUUAUCAGGUUCUACUAAUACAGAGUUUUCUGCCUUUACUUAACCAUCACAAUAAACUAAGGACUUCCAAGCUAGUAAGAAUAAUGACACAGAUAAUAAUUAGAAAAGUAUUCAUAACAUUAUCAACAAACACUUCUACCAUUUUUUGAACAACUACUUCUAUGUAUAUUUUCACUGUAGUAAAAAAUCCCUAACAAAAAAUUUAUCAUCUUAAUCAUUUUAAGUGUACAGUUCAGUAGUGCUAAGUAUAUUUACAUUACUGUGAAACAGAUCUCUAGAACAUUUUAUCUUGCAAAUUUGAAACUCUGUACUCCUUAAACAAGAAGAACCCCAUGAGAGACCAUGUGGCUGGUGGUGUCAGAUUAUAGGCUUUUUCAAGAGAAGUCAAUCUGGAAUUUUGUGUAAAAUUUUCCAAGCUUUAAUGUUAGCUUUAAAAUAGCUUUAUCGAGAUAUAAUUCAAAUGCCAUAAAUCUAUCCAUUUAAAGUGUACAUUUUAACAGUUUUUAAUCACCCCCAAAGGAGACCUUGUACCAUUAAGCAGUCACUCCUCAUUCCCCCCUCCUCCCAGAUGCUAGUAACCACCAUUCUGUUUCCUGUUGCUAUGAAUUGACUACUUAAGUGCCAGUAGCCUAUCAUUUUUGAGUAUGUAAAUCUGCAAGGUGCAUUACACACUUUAAUCCUAACAAAACUACAAAUUAAGUGCUAUUAUUCUUACUUUAUAGUCUAGAAAAUGAAAAAGUUUUAGUAGAUACAAAGUUACAUCUGAAAGUAAUUAAUUGCUACGUAUUUUCAUAUCUGUUAUAUUCAAGUUAGAUAUGAAUGAGAAUAAUUUCUUCUAUAGAAAAGAUUUUUCAUAUAUUGGAUUAUUGUUAAGUAGUAGU